AUUGAACGCUAGCGGGAUGCUUUACACAUGCAAGUCGAACGAGUGGCGGACGGGUGAGUAAUAUAUCGGAACGUGCCCAAUAGAGGGGGCUAACUACUCGAAAGAGUGGCAAAUACCGCAUACUAUGGGAGCGGCAGAUAUUGGAUUAGCUAGUUGGUGGGGUAAAGGCUCAACAAGGCAACGAUCCGUAGCCGGUUUGAGAGGACGACCAGCCACACUGGGACUGAGACACGGCCCAGACUCCUACGGGAGGCAGCAGUGGGGAAUUUUGGACAAUGGGGGAAACCCUGAUCCAGCCAUCCCGCGUGUAUGAGAAGGCCUUCGGGUUGUAAAGUACUUUUGGCAGAGAAGCGGUAUCUGCAGAAUAAGCACCGGCUAACUACGUGCCAGCAGCCGCGGUAAUAC
rnacentral:rRNA from 1 species